rnacentral:rRNA from 1 species
GAUGAACGCUGGCGGCGUGCCUAAUACAUGCAAGUCGAGCGAACAGAUAAGGAGCUUGCUCCUUUGACGUUAGCGGCGGACGGGUGAGUAACACGUGGGUAACCUACCUAUAAGACUGGAAUAACUCCGGGAAACCGGGGCUAAUGCCGGAUAACAUUUAGAACCGCAUGGUUCUAAAGUGAAAGAUGGUUUUGCUAUCACUUAUAGAUGGACCCGCGCCGUAUUAGCUAGUUGGUAAGGUAACGGCUUACCAAGGCAACGAUACGUAGCCGACCUGAGAGGGUGAUCGGCCACACUGGAACUGAGACACGGUCCAGACUCCUACGGGAGGCAGCAGUAGGGAAUCUUCCGCAAUGGGCGAAAGCCUGACGGAGCAACGCCGCGUGAGUGAUGAAGGUCUUCGGAUCGUAAAACUCUGUUAUUAGGGAAGAGCAAAUGUGUAAGUAACUGUGCACGUCUUGACGGUACCUAAUCAGAAGGCCACGGCUAACUACGUG